GCUGCAGCACGUAGGACAGACAUGUGCAAAGGGGAAAGGUGUGCUGAGAAGUUAAACUCUGCCAGCACAAUCAACCUCGUCUGCAAAUUAUUCUACAUUGUCUACCCUGGAAGAAAGGCUGUU